UUAGAUAGAUAUGGAUAGCGUUUUUUUAGUUUUGGUCAUCUAGGGAUGGCAUCUUGUAUCUCAAAUUCUCUAUCAUUCCAAAGAUGGAAGACAAGCCCAUAUUGCUUAUUUGGUUGGAACAUAGGAAGAAAGAGAGUUGAUGAUAAACCUCAGAUUAAUUACCAUGAUAUUGAUCUCACUUUCUCAACUUCUUUGGUUAACAAAACAUUUUUGAAAGGUAAUGUUUCUCUUUUCAAGUUUUUAACCUCAGAUUAAAUACCAUGAUAUUGUUAUUAUUUCAUGUUAUCAUCUUAGACUUAACAUGUCUAUCCAUGGGUGGAGCCAAGGCCCAACAAGCCUGGGCAGUUGCUCGGGCUCUGGCCAAAAUUUUGGUAUUUUUAGGGUUAAUUUAGGGC
rnacentral:lncRNA from 1 species